UGGACAGCACCGCGGGGAGCGCGUGCUGGGCAGGUGGAGCACCUGGCCCGCGAGGCUCGGGACGGGUCCGCUGGUUCCUCCCGCAAUACGACGUGGGCCACGUGGAAUGGUCAUGUUCUCGAUGUCCUGGUAGAGCCGCCGCGCCCACAGCCACCUCGAGCAGGGCUCACUCCCUCGCAGAAGCCUGGAUCGUUUUCCUGUGGUCAGGCCGCAGAGGUCAAACGGUGAGGAGCUGAUUCUGUGGGGUGCACACCGAAACCUGCUCCUGGGCGAGACCUUCACAGAGACGGGCCAACACUGCACUUUCAGUGCAGCAUAAGUCACUUUGGUGACUUGAAGUUGGACGAGUUGGAGACCUGCAGAGACAAGACAGGCGUGCAGUGUGCUCUGAGGAAGGUGCCCAUCAUGGCCACACUUGGAGCCCCUGCUGGCGAGGCGUCCAGGGCCCUGCUUGGGAGCAGGCGGGAGAGACAGCAGCCAUGACCAUGUUGUCUUCUGCUCUGACCUGCCAUGGGCCAGUCCUGAAACUCAGUUGAAGUCUCUGUCGCCUAGGCUGGAAUGCAG